UUGGAUACCCAUCGAAUGUCCUUCUGGCUUCUCUCUCCGACUCACCUGGCUGCCCAGGCUCUGCCACAGAAAUGUGGCUGAUGUCCUGAUUGCACUUCCCUAAACAGCCUCUUGGAGAUGAUUAUUGAGCACACGGGCUGGGCUUUUCCAGAGGGUUACAAAAUGAAGCCAGACGUUUUGGAGCAAGAUGCCUGUUAGGGACUUGAUUUCAGCCUUUCCUGAUGUGCUCCCAAGGGUAUGAGAACAUGAAAAGUGAUGAAACCUGAGAGAUCUUCUACGUGCCCUUUGUGAUGAGAAAACUGGAUAAAGAUCUGGGCUGCAGAGAGUAUCAGGAGGGUUAUGAAGAUGAUAAGAGGACUGGAACAUCUCUCUGAUGAGGAAAGACUGAGAGAACUGGGACCUUUUUAGUCCAGAGAAGAGCAGACUGAGAGCUCUUGUUAGCAACUACUGCACCAAAGCAACAGCAGAAUGUGGUGAAGAGACA